UUCAGAUUACCGCCGGGUACGUUCAGACUAUUCCAGUAGGCCUUAGCAGGAAUAGUGUGGACGUGCCCUUUUUU
rnacentral:ncRNA from 1 species